ACUUAGUGAUCCGGUGGUUCUGCGUGGAAGGGCCAUCGCUCAACGGAUAAAAGCUACCCUGGGGAUAACAGGCUUAUCUCCCCCAAGAGUCCACAUCGACGGGGAGGUUUGGCACCUCGAUGUCGGCUCAUCACAUCCUGGGGCUGUAGUAGGUCCCAAGGGUUGGGCUGUUCGCCCAUUAAAGUGGUACGCGAGCUGGGUUCAGAACGUCGUGAGACAGUUCGGUCCCUAUCCGUCGCAGGCGUAGGAAAUUUGGGAAGACCUGUCCUUAGUACGAGAGGACCGGGAUGGACGUACCUCUGGUGUACCAGUUGUCCUGCCAAGGGCAUGGCUGGGUAGCUAUGUACGGAAUGGAUAAGCGCUGAAAGCAUCUAAGCGCGAAGCCAACUUCAAGAUAAGA
rnacentral:rRNA from 1 species